rnacentral:rRNA from 1 species
GGCCGCGGGAAUUCGAUUGAGUUUGAUCCUGGCUCAGGAUGAACGCUGGCGGCGUGCUUAACACAUGCAAGUCGAACGGAACACCCUUGAAGGAGUUUUCGGACAACUGAUAGGACUGUUUAGUGGCGGACGGGUGAGUAACGCGUGAGUAACCUGCCUUGGAGUGGGGAAUAACAGCUGGAAACAGCUGCUAAUACCGCAUGAUGCAGUUGGGUCGCAUGGCUCUGACUGCCAAAGAUUUAUCGCUCUGAGAUGGACUCGCGUCUGAUUAGCUAGUUGGCGGGGUAACGGCCCACCAAGGCGACGAUCAGUAGCCGGACUGAGAGGUUGGCCGGCCACAUUGGGACUGAGACACGGCCCAGACUCCUACGGGAGGCAGCAGUGGGGAAUAUUGGACAAUGGGGGGAACCCUGAUCCAGCGACGCCGCGUGAGUGAAGAAGUAUUUCGGUAUGUAAAGCUCUAUCAGCAGGGAAGAAAGAAAUGACGGUACCUGACUAAGAAGCCCCGGCUAACUACGUGCCAGCAGCCGCGGUAAUACGUANGGGGCAAGCGUUAUCCGGAUUUACUGGGUGUAAAGGGAGCGUAAACGGCGAUGCAAGUCUGAAGUGAAAAGCGGGGGCCCAACCCCCGGACUGCUUUGGAAACUGUAUAGCUGGAGUGCAGGAGAGGUAAGUGGAAUUCCUAUUGUAGCGGUGAAAUGCGUAGAUAUUAGGAGGGACACCAGUGGGGAAAGCCGGCUUCUGGGACUUUACUGAAAGUGAGGCUCCAAAGCCGUGGGAAGCAAACAGGGAUAAAUUCCCCCGGUAGUCACCGCCGU